UGGGGAAUAUUGGACAAUGGGCGAAAGCCUGAUCCAGCCAUGCCGCGUGUGUGAAGAAGGUCUUCGGAUUGUAAAGCACUUUAAGUUGGGAGGAAGGGCAGUUACCUAAUACGUGAUUGUCUUGACGUUACCGACAGAAUAAGCACCGGCUAACUCUGUGCCAGCAGCCGCGGUAAUACAGAGGGUGCAAGCGUUAAUCGGAAUUACUGGGCGUAAAGCGCGCGUAGGUGGUUUGUUAAGUUGGAUGUGAAAUCCCCGGGCUCAACCUGGGAACUGCAUUCAAAACUGUCAAGCUAGAGUAUGGUAGGGGGGUGGUGGAAUUUCCUGUGUAGCGGUGAAAUGCGUAGAUAUAGGAAGGAACACCAGUGGCGAAGCGACCACCUGGACUGAUACUGACACUGAGGUGCG
rnacentral:rRNA from 1 species